rnacentral:misc_RNA from 1 species
GAUGAAGAACGCAGCGAAAUGCGAUAAGUAAUGUGAAUUGCAGAAUUCAGUGAAUCAUCGAAUCUUUGAACGCACCUUGCACCCUUUGGCAUUCCGAAGGGUAUGCUCGUUUGAGUGUCAUUGUACUCUCACACUUCUGAUCCUUUGGAUUGGGAGCGGUGGACUUGGGUGUUGCUGCUUUACUGUGGCUCACCUCAAAUGCAUUCGUGCAACUCUUGGUUGGACAUAGUACGGCGUGAUAAGUAUCUUCGCCGGCACCUCGCAAGAGGGUGGCUGAUCAGGAGCUCUGUGCUUUCCAACUGUCUUCAGACAACAACUGACAACUUGACCUCAAAUCGAGUAGGACCACCCGCUGAACUUAAGCAUAUCAAUAAGCGGGGGA